GCAGGGGAGUCACUUCACAGGUGGUGAAGCAGGUCUGCUGGUGUCUGUUUUCUCUCCCCGGUUUCCCCUCUUCUCUCCAUUUCUCUGUCCUAUCCAACAAUGACAACAUCAAUAACAACAGCAAUAAUAACUACAACAACAAUUUUUUAAAAAGGGGCAACAAAAGGGAAAAUUAAAAAAGUAUAGUUUGUGGUGGGGAUGAUUUUGUGUUGGGAUAUUUAUCAUCAGGAUUAUGAUACUAAAGCACAGAGCACGUACAAACUCUGAAUCCAUAAACUCUUCAUAAAGUGAAGGCUGUAAUUUGCUGCUCCUCCCUGCAGCUUCCCAGGUAAGCAGAUUGUGAGCUUGUUUCCAGUGAGAAAAGGAGAGAGUGGAGGAACAUGGCUCGUGCUUGCAGGGUUUAGAACUGUGAGCUACUGGAAAUAACUAUGACAUGAAUCUAGUGUGGCUAUUUCCUUAUUUUAGCACGAGUUUGAGAUCCACUUCCCCAACUUAACACAAUUAUUUUUAUUUUUAAAAAUAGUUAUUCCCUUUUGUUGCCCUUGUUUUUUUAUUGUUGUAGUUAUUGUUGAUGUUGUUAUUGAUGUUGUCGUUGUUGUUGGAUAGGACAGAGAGAAAUGGAGAAAGGAGGGGAAGACAGAGAGGGGAAGAGAAAGACAAGACACCUGCAGACCUGCUUCACUGCCUGUGAAGUGACUCCCCUGCAGGUGGGGAGCCGGGGGCUCGAACCGGGAUCCUUGUGCUUUGUGCCACCUGCGCUUAACCCUCUGUGCCUGACUCCCUAACUUUAUUUAAUAGGACAGUAGAAAUUUAGAGACAAGAGGGAGAGAGAGACCUGUAGCCCUGCUUCACCACUCGCAAAACUUUCCCCCUGCAGGUGGGGACUGGGGGCUUGAACCCAGGUCCUUGAGCACUGUAAUAUGGGCGCUCAGCCAGGUGCGCCACCACCCGGGCCCCCAGACUAUUUUUUUUUUCAAUUUUUAGAAAAUUUUUGUUGUUUUGAUUUGUUUGGUAUUUUACCAGAGAACUGCUGAGCUCUGGCUUAUGGUGGUGCAGGGGACUGGACCUGAGAUCACACUGAUUCUCAAGGCGACAAUGGCGCGCUCGUGCGGCCGGCAGCUUCUCCUGGCUUCUCUUCAGUGGACAAUGUGGAUGCCGUCACUUCUCCUCUUGUAGAUGUGCUGCUUCAUGUGGAAAUCAAGGCUGGUGCCACCAAGGUGGAGAUCAGGGGCUCGAACCUGGGUCCUUCUGCAUUGUAACGUGCACUCAGCCAGGUGCACACUGCCUGGCCUUCUGUGAUUGUUUCUCAGCUAGACAUGGGCAUUGGCAGGUGUAUCCAUACCCCCAGCCUGUUUCAUCUUUCCUGAGUGUAACCCAAGAAUUUUUAUUGCAAUAAAAAUUUUUUGACUUGCA